rnacentral:tRNA from 1 species
GGCGGAGUAGCUCAGCUGGUUAGAGCAGCGGAAUCAUAAUCCGAAGGUCGCCGGUUCAAUUCCGGCCUCCGCUACCA